rnacentral:rRNA from 1 species
GACGAACGCUGGCGGCGUGCUUAACACAUGCAAGUCGAACGGAAAGGCCCUGCUUUUGUGGGGUGCUCGAGUGGCGAACGGGUGAGUAACACGUGAGUAACCUGCCCUUGACUUUGGGAUAACUUCAGGAAACUGGGGCUAAUACCGGAUAGGAGCUCCUGCUGCAUGGUGGGGGUUGGAAAGUUUCGGCGGUUGGGGAUGGACUCGCGGCUUAUCAGCUUGUUGGUGGGGUAGUGGCUUACCAAGGCUUUGACGGGUAGCCGGCCUGAGAGGGUGACCGGCCACAUUGGGACUGAGAGACGGCCCAGACUCCUACGGGAGGCAGCAGUGGGGAAUAUUGCACAAUGGGCGGAAGCCGGAUGCAGCAACGCCGCGUGCGGGAUGACGGCCUUCGGGUUGUAAACCGCUUUCGCCUGUGACGAAGCGUGAGUGACGGUAAUGGGGAAAGAAGCACCGGCUAACUACGU